GCUGCGAUGGCGGAGUGGUUAAGGCGUUGGAUUCGAAAUUCAAUAGGGUUUUCCCGCGCAGGUUCGAACCCUGCUCGCAGCG